AUUGAACACUGGCGGCAUGCCUUACACAUGCAAGUCGAACGGUAACGGGCCUUCGGGUGCCGACGAGUGGCGAACGGGUGAGUAAUACAUCGGAACGUGCCCGAUCGUGGGGGAUAACGAGGCGAAAGCUUUGCUAAUACCGCAUACGAUCUACGGAUGAAAGCAGGGGACCGCAAGGCCUUGCGCGGACGGAGCGGCCGAUGGCAGAUUAGGGAGUUGGUGGGAUAAAAGCUUACCAAGCCGACGAUCUGUAGCUGGUCUGAGAGGAUGAUCAGCCACACUGGGACUGAGACACGGCCCAGACUCCUACGGGAGGCAGCAGUGGGGAAUUUUGGACAAUGGGCGCAAGCCUGAUCCAGCCACGCCGCGUGAAUGAUGAAGGCCUUCGGGUUGUAAACUGCUUUUGUAAGGAACGAAAAGCCUUCUUUUAAUACAGGAGGGUCAUGACGGUACCGUAAGAAUAAGCACCGGCUAACUACGUG
rnacentral:rRNA from 1 species